rnacentral:ncRNA from 1 species
GAUUAUCGAAGGAUAAUAACUAGACCUGAAUUCAUAAUC